rnacentral:sRNA from 1 species
AUUUUUUCUCAUGGUGUAUGAUAUAUAUGAUUUACAUUUUGAUUUUAAAAUAUAAAUUAGCACAAAAAAUAAUUAAUUAAAAAAAAAUAUAGCAACUGUUUAUAACGACAGUCAAACGAACAACACAGCGACGGUUAUUAGCGAUUGUCGCUGUAAUUGGUCGCUGAAUCCAGCGACAGACAAACAAACAAUGUAUGUUGUCGCUGGUUGCUGUAGCUGAUCGCUGGUCGCUGUCGCUGAAUCCAGCGACAUGGAAACGAACAAGGCCAAUGACUCAAGGUGUUAUCCGUAACAAUAAGAGAUUACUACAGUCUAGAUAUUCUCCUUACAUAUUAGAGUCAAUGAUAUAUAAUAUUCCUUACACUAAAGAAACUGA